GACGAACGCUGGCGGCGUGCUUAACACAUGCAAGUCGAACGGAAAGGCCCUGCUUGCAGGGUACUCGAGUGGCGAACGGGUGAGUAACACGUGGGUGAUCUGCCCUGCACUUCGGGAUAAGCCUGGGAAACUGGGUCUAAUACCGGAUAGGAGCCAUUUUUAGUGUGAUGGUUGGAAAGUUUUUUCGGUGUAGGAUGAGCUCGCGGCCUAUCAGCUUGUUGGUGGGGUAAUGGCCUACCAAGGCGGCGACGGGUAGCCGGCCUGAGAGGGUGGACGGCCACAUUGGGACUGAGAUACGGCCCAGACUCCUACGGGAGGCAGCAGUGGGGAAUAUUGCACAAUGGGCGCAAGCCUGAUGCAGCGACGCCGCGUGGGGGAUGACGCCCUUCGGGUUGUAAACUCCUUUCGCUAGGGACGAAGCUUUUUGUGACGGUACCUAGAUAAGAAGCACCGGCUAACUACGUG
rnacentral:rRNA from 1 species